AAUCAACGCUGGCGGCGCGCCUAAUACAUGCAAGUCGAGCGAGAAGACGUAGCAAUACGUUUGUAAAGCGGCGAACGGGUGAGGAAUACAUGGGUAACCUACCCUCGAGUGGGGAAUAACUAGCCGAAAGGUUAGCUAAUACCGCGUACGCUUCUUGGACUUCGGUUCAGGGAGGAAAGCGAUGCCGAGGGUAUCGCGCUCUUGGAUGGGCUCAUGUCCUAUCAGCUGUUGGUGAGGUAACGGCUCACCAAGGCUUCGACGGGUAGCUGGUCUGAGAGGACGAUCAGCCACACUGGCACUGCGACACGGGCCAGACUCCUACGGGAGGCAGCAGUAAGGAAUAUUGCGCAAUGGGCGAAAGCCUGACGCAGCGACGCCGCGUGGGGGA
rnacentral:rRNA from 1 species